AUGCGGCGGCGGUUCAUCAAUCUGGUGAUGAAGGAUUACGCCGUCGACGGCUCCUACUGGCUGAGCCGCAUGAGGCCCCAGGAAAACCUCUUCUACGCCUCCACGGCGGAAGCCAUGACGGCGCAGGCGCAGCAGCUGCCCCCGCCGGCGGCCAGAUUCAAGUCAUCCUGCACGGACUGCCUGACGCUCGACUUCAUGCCUUUCUACGGGCGAGACAGCCCCAGCGAGGGCAGGAUCGUCGCGCUCGACUCGACCGGGCACACCGUCCUCUACGACGCCGACGCCGACCCUUGCUCUGUCGAGGCGCUGCCCCGCGUUAACUCGUCUAACUGGCGAACUCCCAUCUCCCUGUACGUCACCGGCGCCAACGCCAACGCGGCAGCUCGGGACUCCGGCGGCUCCGACGUGCUCUACGGCAUCAACAUGUUCAAUUCGAGCGACUUCGAGGUACUCGUUCACUGCAACCCCUCUGACUCUAAGUUUGGGAGGAUCGAUGGAGCUAAAGCUUGGCACUGGCUCAAGCUCCCGUCGGCGCCCUACCUUGAUAAUCCUGGUCAGGAUCACACCAUCCAUUCCUACACGCUGCUCGAGGACGGCAAAACCAUCUGCUUCUCCUCACUUCCUGACAAUGGCUUUGGCACCUACUGCUUCGACACAUCCGGCCAUGAGUGGACCAAGGCCGGCCGCUGGGCGCUGCCCUUCAUCGGCCGUGCCUGGCACGUCCCUGAGCUCGGCAACCUCUGGUUCGGCUUCAGCGGCAGCAACCCAAACAACAUCUGUGCUAUUGACCUCUGCUCUCUCGACGGUCCUCCCAAGGUGCUGCACGAGUGGCGAGGCUCCAACACUCCCAGGAACUGGAUGCUGGUUAACAGCACCAUGGUUUACCUCGGGGGCAACAGGUUUUGCGUCGUCAGGUUCUUCGGCGUUUACAAUGGACCCCCGGACAGGAACGAUGAGCCGACUGACACGGUUUCUAUCAUCACCGGUCUGGAGAUUGUCAAGGGACAAACGAGUGAAACCGUGCUGCGGAUGGUCAAGCACAAGAGCAGAACUUACGUCUUCGAAGGCUGUGGCAUUGAGUGUGUGUUCUAA
rnacentral:rRNA from 1 species